rnacentral:tRNA from 1 species
GCCGAAGUGGUGGAACUGGCAGACACGCCAUCUUGAGGGGGUGGUACCCGAAAGGGUGUGGGGGUUCGAGUCCCCCCUUCGGCACCA